rnacentral:rRNA from 1 species
AUGCAAGUCGAGCGAGCGGAACUAACAGAUUACUUCGGUAAUGACGUUAGGAAAGCGAGCGGCGGAUGGGUGAGUAACACGUGGGGAACCUGCCCCAUAGUCUGGGAUACCACUUGGAAACAGGUGCUAAUACCGGAUAAGAAAGCAGAUCGCAUGAUCAGCUUUUAAAAGGCGGCGUAAGCUGUCGCUAUGGGAUGGCCCCGCGGUGCAUUAGCUAGUUGGUAAGGUAAAGGCUUACCAAGGCGAUGAUGCAUAGCCGAGUUGAGAGACUGAUCGGCCACAUUGGGACUGAGACACGGCCCAAACUCCUACGGGAGGCAGCAGUAGGGAAUCUUCCACAAUGGACGCAAGUCUGAUGGAGCAACGCCGCGUGAGUGAAGAAGGUUUUCGGAUCGUAAAGCUCUGUUGUUGGUGAAGAAGGAUAGAGGUAGUAACUGGCCUUUAUUUGACGGUAAUCAACCAGAAAGUCACGGCUAACUACGUGCCAGCAGCCGCGGUAAUACGUAGGUGGCAAGCGUUGUCCGGAUUUAUUGGGCGUAAAGCGAGCGCAGGCGGAAGAAUAAGUCUGAUGUGAAAGCCCUCGGCUUAACCGAGGAACUGCAUCGGAAACUGUUUUUCUUGAGUGCAGAAGAGGAGAGUGGAACUCCAUGUGUAGCGGUGGAAUGCGUAGAUAUAUGGAAGAACACCAGUGGCGAAGGC